UAGGGAAUCUUGCGCAAUGGGCGAAAGCCUGACGCAGCCAUGCCGCGUGAAUGAUGAAGGUCUUAGGAUUGUAAAAUUCUUUCACCGGGGAAGAUAAUGACGGCACCCGGAGAAGAAGCCCCGGCUAACUUCGUGCCAGCAGCCGCGGUAAUACGAAGGGGGCUAGCGUUGCUCGGAAUUACUGGGCGUAAAGGGCGCGUAGGCGGAUAUUUAAGUUGGGGGUGAAAGCCCGGGGGCUCAACCUCGGAAUAGCCUUCAAUACUGGAUAUCUUGAGUUCGGGGGAAGGUGAGUGGAAUGCCGAGUGUAGAGGUGAAAUUCGUAGAUAUUCGGCGGAACACCAGUGGCGAAGGCGACUCACUGGCCCGAUACUGACGCUGAGGCGCGAAAGCGUGGGGAGCAAACAGGAUUAGAUACCCUGGUAGUCCACGCCGUAAAACGAUGAGUGCUAGUUGUCGGCAUGCAUGCAUGUCGGUGACGCAGCUAACGCAUUAAGCACUCCGCCUGGGGAGUAC
rnacentral:rRNA from 1 species